GGCCCGUUGGAGAAACGGUUAACUCACAUGCCUUUCACGCAUGCAUUCGCGGGUUCGAACCCCGCACGGGUCACCA
rnacentral:tRNA from 1 species